rnacentral:lncRNA from 1 species
AGUUUUGUAACAGAGACCAAUAAUCAUUAACUGAACCUCUGUAAAUGUUCUAGAGUUUAAGGAGCAUCAUGCUGUUCCCUCUUUUAUUUUGUCAUUCAGGUUGACUUCAAUGUGAAAAUGUUUUGUAACCAAACUCUUAAUUUUUAUGGUAUUUGUUAGCCUUGCUUUUAAGCUGAAAAGCCAAGUUAUAAAGCUCUUAACUAUUUUAGUUGGUAUCAGCAAGAGACCUAAAAUGAGAAAGUUUGAUUGUUGGUAACUUCUGUUGUCCUAAGGAGUUACAAUGCCAGUUAUGACAGACUGAUAACAGGCCUACAGCCACAAUUUGAUGUACUAAUGAAUUUAUAUUUCUGAUAGAUUCAAACUGUAGUCUUGAACCCCAUUAUCAGAUUAUUAGUUAUAGAUUACUUAAUUGUAUUAGGGAAUGUCAUGUUAUAUUUACUUUCAGAUAAAACUUGCAUUUGAUGCAUAAUAAUUCACUAAGGUUAAGUAUGUUAAUUUGUCCUUGUUUAGAAGUUAAGCACCUUAUCAAGUUAUUAAUUUAAGCUUUACAAUCUUGUUUUAUAACUUUGUAACUCAAGAGUAAUGGAUGCUGUAGUGAUGUCUCUCACAUAUGCAAAGAUGAACAAUAAAAUUGUUUAUUUACAAGUAA